GGAGGGAUGCCCGAGUGGUUAAAGGGGGCGGUCUGUAAAAUCGCUGGCUUAGGCCUACGUAGGUUCAAAUCCUACUCCCUCCACCA
rnacentral:tRNA from 1 species